rnacentral:hammerhead_ribozyme from 1 species
CGCAUGUUGAGGAGUCCAACAAUAGGACGAAACGGCCGUCCAGUGG